AUUACUCAUUUAAACCAUGGACAUCUGCAUCCGUUUGUUUUUCCUUUAGAGGCUUCUGGUGUUUGCACUCCCAUGCUACAUUUUUCGGAUACUAAAACAUGUUUGGUUACAAAUAUUAGCAAAAUACAAGUAAUUUUUCUGCAUGGAUGCCUCUGGAAUGCAGUUUUCUUGUCUUCUAUUUUCUAUCAGCAUUGCUCAUUACUCCUUACAAGCUCACUCACUUGUUUGAUAAUUAAGGAACCCUGUAAAUGUUAAAAGCUCAAUCAAAAUUGACAGGCGUUUAUGGCAAAUGAAAAUAUUUAAAUGUAGCUCAACACUCCGUCAUAUUGGAUAGCACAAUUUUAUUUGUGAAUUUUCCUUGAUUUCCAUAAUCAAUGAGUUUAAUCACUAAAUUCUCAUUGGGAUGUGUUCUUGUAUGUGAGGUAUUAGCUCUUGAGAAAAUUGUGUACCACACAGUGAUAUUAGGCCAGUUUUUUGAAAUAAGAUACAUAGCCACCUACUAGUUUGCCUCCCAACAGAAGUUUUUUGUUUUUCUACCCAAUACUAAAGUUCUAUUAAUGGAAGAUAAUGUUCUCAAUUCAAAGGCAAGCUGUACUGGUUCGGGCUACUUGGUAUCCCUGUUCUCUGCCUAAAAUCUGAAAUUACUAGUUUCUUAAAGCAUUAGAUUGCAAUUCGUAAAUGUUCUUUCUUUAUUAGAUUACACGAAUUAUGUUUUUUCUGUGUUGAAUUACCCUAUUUGAUGGUUGACCUUUAUCUCUUGUUUGGCUCAAUUUCCAGAACCUAUCUAAAGCUUCCUUGGAGGCCUCUCAUGUCCAUUGAAGGAAGUACAGUUUAUGAUUUAGGUGAUGAGUUCAAAAUUGUGAGACAUGCUGAGAGCUGGAAUGUGUCAGCACUUGAAGCAGUUGCCCAAAUAUUCACUCCUAGUUUAGAAAGGAAUGGUGAAUGAACCAAGUAUCUCCAUAAAGUGUCUGAUGACAUUAUUGUAUGGCUAUGAAAUGCAGAGAGCUGCCCAAAGUUGAAUUGCAGGUUACAUAUAAUGUUUAAUACAUGUAGCAUAUGAAGCCUAGGUUCUUCAUCUCAUUGUUGUAAUUGUUUCAUUGGGCAGAUUGUCAAUUCGCCGUUACUGCAAACAACAUGCUAAUCUGAUCCCCCAACUCCAGUGCUAGGCUACUUGAAGUAGAAACAUAACUAGACCAGAGUCGCUGUAUUCUCUUUGACUGUGAUAUAUACACUACUUAUUUUGGAUGAUUUCAUGUUCCCUGAAGCUAUGGAAUGUUGUACAGUCUUGCAGUUGA